CAGUUCAAAUCUGGUUCCUGGCACAUGAUCAAUUUGUAUAAAUAUCUAUUAAUUCAUUAAAAUGAAUAUGAGUC
rnacentral:tRNA from 1 species